GGGACAUGCAGGGAAGGGAAAAGGGAACCGAGAGCCAGUAGGAGUGCAGAGCUGUGGGGGCAAGGAGCACUGCGGGUCAUCAUCGCAGCGCUCACUGGAGACGGAUCGCAGAGGCAGUUUAUAGCUCUCAGCUUUCCUGUCAACACCAAGACUCUGGCUGUAUCCAGAUGCACCCUGGAGAGGCCAAGGAACUGAGGAGCUGUGGGACAGCCACAAGGAGAUUCUCAGAGAUGUCUCAGAGCCAGCAGAGUUUCUGUACUGUUUGAUAAGGAAGCCAUGCCUGUUACAGAAACCAAGUUCCCUCUGUGUGGGCUUGUCUAGAUCCAUGCUGCUUGCCUGUGUCUGUCUGGGACCUUUCCUCCUUGGACUUCAUGUUAAUCAUUCUCUCCCCCAAAUCCCUCUCAAGUCUCACAUCUGUCCCUGUUCCCUCUUUGUCAUGCCUUCUACCCUGGUCCAGGACUCAACAGCCUAUUUCCAAACAUCCCAAGACCCUUGUCACUGCCCUGCCUCAACCCUCACCCCUGCCAGGUCACAUAGCAGCUACACAAUUAUUUUGAAGCACAGAUCUGCCCAUUUUACCUUCUUAAAAUGCAAUGGUGUCUUUAAAGCCCAGUUUCAGGAUCAAGUUCCAACACACAGCAUGGCACUCCAGUCUGUUGGCCCCAUUGGUUUCUUCUGUCCCACACCCUGUCUUCUCCUUCUGUCCAUCUUACAUCCCCACCUCUUCAUGUGAUCUUCGAUUCUUCUAGACCUCUUAUGUACUGUCUUGUUGAUGCACCUUUGUUCGUCUCUUUCCAGGUCUUGCCUUCUCUAAGCCCUGGCAAGUGCUAAUCAUUUUUUUUUGGUUUUUCGAGACAGGGUUUCUCUGUAUUGUUUUGGAGGCUGUCCUGGAACUAGCUCUGUAGACCAGGCUGGCCUCGAACUCACAGAGAUCCGCCUGCCUCUGCCUCCCGAGUGCUGGGAUUAAAGGCAUGUGCCACCAACACCCGGCAAGUGUUAAUCACUUUAAGUAGCUCUUUUAUGUAGCUCCUGGGUUGUUACCUGAACCACAUUAGGCUGGCCUUGAGGGUGAGGACUGGGUUUUAGCUUUCUCAAGGCCCCAGCACAGAACCUAGUCCAGGAAAAUAAUGAUUGACUGAGUGACUCAUUGAAUCAUUAAUUUCACUGUGGUGUUCCUGCUUGCCACUGGUCCAUGUGGAGGCAAACUUAGAUUUCUUGUUUCUUAACAUCUUAAUUCAGGAAGUUCUUCUGCUUCCUUUAUCCAGAAAAGAGCACAAGUACUGGAUGGCAGAGAACCUAAAAAGGUCUUUUAUGGAAUGUAAGCCAGUCCUGGGUGGCAGGCAGUAGAAUAUUGUUAUGUUAUUUAGAUUCUGUCUCUCCAACUCUGCAUAGAGCUGUCAUGAGUAUUUAUCAUGGUCAGACUAUCUUUUCUAGGGAAAGACCUUGUAAGUAAUAAUCAUGUUUGGGAUACAUAUGUAUAUGUAUAUAUAUAUGUAUAUGUAUACAUAUGUAAUAAUAAUGUUUGUUGACAGUUAUGCUUAGAUGAAAGAGAGCUUUGGAAUUGGCCAUUGGAUUGUGGGUAUUUGAUCUAUUAAGGAGUCCUAAAAAUAGUGUUUGCUACUCCCCGAUCAUGAAUAGGUUACUUAUUUGUUUGGGGCCUCAGUUUCCCUGUGCAUAAAAUGGAAGGAAUUUGAUUAAAUAACCUCUAAGUUUCUCUCAGCCUAGUCUAGUCAAUUUAUACAGUCCAAAGAAAAGAGAGGGUAACAUGGAUUUCACUGGCCAGGAAAGGCUCCAUUCCAUAUGCUCUGUAGGAUGCUUUCCUGAGUGCUUAUGUACAGCAGGGAGGAAAGCAGACAGCCCUUCCCAUCACUGAGUCUGAGACCUAGUGGAGAAGACAGACCAGCGAGGAAGGGUGGAGAAGAGCCAUGGUACUGGGGCUCUAGCCUAGGUCUGCAAAGUGGGGAAGUCGUUCAAGCUGUGGGUAACAGAGCCACCCCUUCCCUUUUUUCUCUCAC